GACGAACGCUGGCGGCGUGCUUAACACAUGCAAGUCGAACGGUGAACUCCGCUUGCGGGGGGAUCAGUGGCGCACGGGUGAGUAACACGUGGGCAACCUGCCCUCAGCUCUGGGAUAACUCCAAGAAAUUGGGGCUAAUACCGGAUAUGACCGCUGACCGCAUGGUCUGGUGGUGGAAAGAUUUAUCGGCUGGGGAUGGGCCCGCGGCCUAUCAGCUUGUUGGUGGGGUAGUGGCCUACCAAGGCGACGACGGGUAGCCGGCCUGAGAGGGUGACCGGCCACACUGGGACUGAGACACGGCCCAGACUCCUACGGGAGGCAGCAGUGGGGAAUAUUGCGCAAUGGGCGAAAGCCUGACGCAGCGACGCCGCGUGGGGGAUGACGGCCUUCGGGUUGUAAACCUCUUUCAGCAGGGACGAAGCGAAAGUGACGGUACCUGCAGAAGAAGCACCGGCCAACUACGUG
rnacentral:rRNA from 1 species